rnacentral:rRNA from 1 species
UACGUAGGGUGCGAGCGUUAAUCGGAAUUACUGGGCGUAAAGCGUGCGCAGGCGGAUUGUUAAGCAAGAUGUGAAAUCCUCGGGCUUAACCUGGGAAUGGCAUUUGAUACUGGCAGACUAGAGUAUGGUAGAGGGGGGUAGAAUUCCUGGUGUAGCGGUGAAAUGCGUAGAUAUCAGGAGGAAUACCAGUGGCGAAGGCGACCCCCUGGGCCAAUACUGACGCUGAGGUACGAAAGCGUGGGUAGCGAACAGG